CUUGUUGUUUCUUAGCCGUUAAUUAUUAAUUGUUGUUUAGUUAUAUUAUUAAUUGAGUUACUAGCUUAGUGGUAAGGGUGGUGGUUGUGGUUGUGUUUGG